GCCCUGGUAGCUCAAUUGGCUAGAGCGUGGGACUUUUAAAGACUCUUCUUCAGCAUGAAGCUGAAGGACGAGGCCUAGUGAUCCCAAGGUUGCGGGUUCGACCCCCGCCUGGGGCG
rnacentral:tRNA from 1 species